GACAGAGGUUGCAAACGUUGUUCGGAAUCACUGGGCAUAAAGCGCCCGUCGGCGGUCUGUUAAGUCAGGUGUGAAAGCCCCCGGCUCAACCGGGGAACAGCAUUUGAUACUGGCAGACUCGAGGAUGGUAGGGGUGAGUGGAACUCCAGGUGGAGCGGUGAAAUGCGUAGAUAUCUGGAGGAACACCGGUGGCGAAAGCGGCUCACUGGACCAUCACUGACGCUGAGGUGCGAAAGCUAGGGUAGCAAACGGG
rnacentral:rRNA from 1 species